CCUACGGGUGACAGCAGUGAGGAAUAUUGGUCAAUGGGCGGGAGCCUGAACCAGCCAAGUCGCGUGAGGGAAGACGGUCCUAUGGAUUGUAAACCUCUUUAGGCGGGGAGCAAUGCCGGGCACGCGUGCCCGGAGGGAGAGUACCCGCAGAAUCAGCAUCUGCUAACUCCGUGCCAGCAACCGCGGUCAUACAGAGGAUGCGAGCGUUAUCGGGAUUUAUUGGGUUUAAAGGGUGCGUAGGCGGAUUUUUAAGUCAGCGGUAAAAUGUCCGGGCUCAACCCGGGCCGGCCGUUGAAACUGGGGAUCUUGAGUGGGCGAGAGGUAUGCGGAAUGCGUGGUGUAGCGGUGAAAUGCUUAGAUAUCACGAAGAACUCCGAUUGCGAAGGCAGCUUACUAAACUGCCACUGACAUUGAUGCUCGAAAGUGUGGGUAUCAAACAGGAUUAGAUACCCUAGUAGUC
rnacentral:rRNA from 1 species